rnacentral:rRNA from 1 species
GACGAACGCUGGCGGCGUGCUUAAUACAUGCAAGUCGAACGCAUUGGAAAACGGGUGAGUAACCCGUGGGUGACCUGCCCUGCACCUCAGGCUAAGGCGGGGGAACUGAGUCUGAUACCGGAGCGUGGGGGAUGGGGACGGGGCCUACCGGCUGGUUGGUGGGGUAAUGGCAAACUAAGUGGGCGGCGGGUGGCCGGCCUGAGCGGGUGGACGGCCACCUUGGGACUGGGACACGGCCCAGAGUGCUACGGGAGGCAGCGGUGGGGAAUAGUGCACAAUGGGCGGAAGCCUGAUGCAGCGACGCCGCGUGGGGGAUGACGGCCGUCGGGUUGUAAACUCCUUUCACCAUCGACGCGGUAGAUGGAGAAGAAGCACCGGCUAACUACGUGCCAGCAGCCGCGGUAAUAC